UGUACACUCUGCACGUGUGGUGUCCCCCAGCUUGGGUUUGGCCUCUAAGGGAGGCUGGAGAGGCCUGGGCUUGCCAGCCUGUGUUCGGGGCCUUUGCUGCAAGUUUUCUGUUACUAAAGGGUGAGGAGCCUUCUUCCUGAGAACUUGGGCCCUUGAGGACUUUCAGUCCGACCCUUCCCACAGACCUCAUACAAUGCUCACGGACUAGCUUCCUCCAGAGGACCAAGGACACCAGGCAGCUGGCUGUGUGAAGAGUGCUCUGUGCGGGAAUGCCCGGUGGUGGUCACCCUGAGCUGUCAGCAGAGGUCGGUGCCCCCAGCACAGCUGUUUUAUUACCUCCUGCUGUCUUACCUUCUCCUGUACCUGGUUAUAUUUUAUUCCAUACUGGAUAUUCUGUUUAAAUACUGUUUGGACAAAUAACUUGAUGUAAUCUUCAUAGGAAAGGAUUUUUUGCUUAUGACACCCACCUGGGAGUGCUACAUCCCCAGGUGAUGGUGAGACUGACGUACAGUCCACGUGGCUCACUGAAUUCUGGAGCACCUUUACUCCACAGGGAGGCCUCUCUGAGGUCCCUGUCCGAGGGACGGGGUAGUUUACUCCCUCUGUCCCUGGUGGGUACCAGACUUUGACUUUGGUCUCUCAGUCCCAGCACGUCACCACACGUGCAGCCUGGCCUCUCCCAGCCUUUUCUGGGGGCCUUCUAUUUUAUCAUACUUAAUUCUUCGACCCUUGCGAUGGAAGUGCCGUUUCAUAUAACUAAGGGGUGGUGCUGCUCUCCAGGAACCUAGGAAAGGGGUGUAUUAACAAGAACUCCUAAUGUCAGGCAAACUGAUUUGAGGGCUAAAAGUGAAAGUAACCUGGAGGACUCGCACAGGAGAUACUCAUUCUUACCAGGGGGCUUUAGGAAAGCGUCGUGGUGUAGGUAUUAUUGGAACAGAUGUUACAUUGGAGAGGCUUUGAAGGAUGUGAACAAUUUCCAGAAGCAACUGAGCAGAAGGUAGAGUAACCUAGGGGAUGUGAGCGUGGGCUAUGGGGGGCUGAUGGUGCGUUCAAAUCAUGAGUCUGCUGACAUUCUUGUGGCUUUGAGCAAGUUGCUGAGACCCUCAGCUUCAGUUUUCUCAUUUUGAAAAUGGGACAAUAAUACCUCUUAAAAUGUUGACGGCCACAUAAGUUCCGAUAUGUUCAGUGGCUGCCUUGUAGUGAGAACUCGGUAGAUCGUAGCUAUUAUGAAGCAGAUGGGUGUUUCGGGAGAAAAAAGUGAGCAGAGAGGAGAUGGCGGAAGGGAAGCGGGGUAAGGACUUAGUCAGCCUCAUUGGCGCACAUUUUAAAAGUUGGAUUAUUCUCAGAUGUUUCCAAAGCUGGCACUGGACGUGAAUGUAAAACCCAGAAAACGAUUAAGUCUCAAGUCAAAUCUCUUACAUUCUACACUUUCUCUAUGAUGCGUUAUGCGUGGAGAGCAUUUUCUGAAGGGAGGAACUACACUGGUGGUAACCCUGUCACUUUUUUUUUCUCUAUGAUUCAAACUCCGUACAUACAGAUAGAAAAUGAAAGGAAGGGAGGCGAGGUUGGCGUCGGCCCUGCGCUGCCCCUCCAAUCGCAUGCGCAUACUGGUCGACACUGCGCAGCCGCAGAGACAUUUUAAGUGGUCACAUUUGCGCGGCUUCCAUCUGGCGCCUCGGUCUACUGCAGUCCUUUCGUGUGCGCAGUCGCAGUGCAGACGCCGAGCCGACGGCGAUCCUGAGGCGCUCCGAGUCGACGGCGAUCCUGAGGAGCUCAGCGGCAACGGCGAUCCUGAGGCGCUCAGAGCCAGGCUCUCAGACUCACAAUGUUUGAGGAGCAGGAUCAUAUCACUGUAACUCUUGGAGAUGACAGUGCUGACAGUGAGGACACCUCUCACUGUAGUGACCGUGACAACAGCUCUGAUGUUGUGAUAAUAGAAGAUUCUGACUCAGAGCUUAGUGAGAAUGGACUUCCCACGGACAGCGUGUCAACCGAUCAACCAAAUUUUCAAGGCAGGGGUGAUAACCAUCGGCAGCUAUCCCAAAUGCCACACGGAGCAGAAGUUUUGCCAAGCCAAGGUGACCAAGGAGUUUCGCAAGUGAGCUUUCCCGGAAGUUUCAAAAGCUACCGCUCGCGCCCAGGGGACAUGGAGCCUGUCCCUGCGCCCAACACACGAGGAUCAUCUCCUCCAA